UACGUAGGGCGCAAGCGUUGUUCGGAUUUACUGGGCGUAAAGGGCUCGUAGGCGGCCAACUAAGUCAGACGUGAAAUCCCUCGGCUUAACCGGGGAACUGCAUCUGAUACUGGAUGGCUUGAGUCCGGGAGAGGUGAGUGGAACUGCGAGUGUAGAGGUGAAAAUUCGUAGAUAUUCGCAAGAACACCAGUGGCGAAGGCGGCUCACUGGCCCGGUACUGACGCUGAGGUGCGAAAGCGUGGGGAGCAAACAGG
rnacentral:rRNA from 1 species